rnacentral:rRNA from 1 species
GGAAACGGCAUUAUGUGCUUGCACAUUUUGGACGUCGACCGGCGCACGGGUGAGUAUCGCGUAUCCAACCUGCCCUUUACUUGGGGAUACCCCGUUGAAAGACGGCCUAAUACCCGAUGUAAUUCAUUGAUGGCAUCAGAUAUGAAUAAAAGAUUUAUCGGUAAGGGAUGGGGAUGCGUCUGAUUAGCUUGUUGGUGAGGUAAAGGCUCACCAAGGCGACGAUCAGUAGGGGUUCUGAGAGGAAGGUCCCCCACAUUGGAACUGAGACACGGUCCAAACUCCUACGGGAGGCAGCAGUGAGGAAUAUUGGUCAAUGGGCGCAAGCCUGAACCAGCCAAGUAGCGUGCAGGAAGACGGCCCUAUGGGUUGUAAACUGCUUUUAUACGAGAAUAAUUUGAUGCACGUGUGCGUUAUUGCAUGUAUCGUAUGAAUAAGGACCGGCUAAUUCCGUGCCAGCAGCCGCGGUAAUACGGAAGGUCCAGGCGUUAUCCGGAUUUAUUGGGUUUAAAGGGAGUGUAGGCGGUUUGUUAAGCGUGUUGUGAAAUUUAGGUGCUCAACAUUUAACUUGCAGCGCGAACUGGCGAACUUGAGUGCACACAACGUAUGCGGAAUUCAUGGUGUAGCGGUGAAAUGCUUAGAUAUCAUGAAGAACUCCGAUUGCGAAGGCAGCAUACGGGAGUGUAACUGACGCUUAAGCUCGAAGGUGCGGGUGUCGAACAGGAUUAGAUACCCUGGUAGUCCGCACAGUAAACGAUGGAUGCCCGCUGUUAGCGCCUGGCGUUAGC